rnacentral:rRNA from 1 species
UACGAAGGGGGCUAGCGUUGUUCGGAAUUACUGGGCGUAAAGGGCGCGUAGGCGGUUCCAAUCGUCGGAUGUGAAAGGCCUGGGCUCAACCUGGGAACGGCAUUCGAUACGGUGGGACUUGAGUGUGGGAGAGGAUGGUGGAAUUCCCAGUGUAGAGGUGAAAUUCGUAGAUAUUGGGAAGAACACCGGUGGCGAAGGCGGCCAUCUGGACCACAACUGACGCUGAGGCGCGAAAGCGUGGGGAGCAAACAGGAUUAGAAACCCCUGGUAGUCC